rnacentral:tRNA from 1 species
CGCGGGGUGGAGCAUCCCGGUAGCUCGUCGGGCUCAUAACCCGAAGGUCGUCAGUUCAAAUCUGGCCCCCGCAACCA